UUUAUAAAAAUAGUGUCUGCUUGCAGAACUUGCAUACAGGUGCUGCACGGCUGUCGUCAGCUCGUGUCGUGAGAUGUUGGGUUAAGUCCCGCAACGAGCGCAACCCUCGUCCUUAGUUGCUAACAGUUCGGCUGAGAACUCUAAGGAGACUGCCUACGCAAGUAGGAGGAAGGUGAGGAUGACGUCAAGUCAUCAUGGCCCUUACGUCCAGGGCUACACACGUGCUACAAUGGGGUAUACAAAGAGCAGCAAUACGGUGACGUGGAGCAAAUCUCAAAAAUGCCUCCCAGUUCGGAUUGUAGUCUGCAACUCGACUACAUGAAGUUGGAAUCGCUAGUAAUCGUAGAUCAGCUAUGCUACGGUGAAUACGA
rnacentral:rRNA from 1 species